AUACUCUUUCCUUUACAGGGAAGGGGUUAACUUGAAAUUGUUGCCUAGCAAAGAAGAAUUUUGAUUGAAAUUUCUUGUUUAUUACUAUUAGGUUUAUCCCAACUAGUGAUUAUUGAGAGUUUUUAUUACAGAGUCUUUUCACUUGCUAUAAUACUAUUCUAUAAGUUUGACCUCAAAUCAGGUAGGAAUACCCGCUGAACUUAAGCAUAUCAAUAAGCGGAGGAAAAGAAACCAACCGGGAUUGCCCUAGUAACGGCGAGUGAAGCGGCAAAAGCUCAAAUUUGAAAUCUGGCAUCUUUGAUGUCCGAGUUGUAAUUUGAAGAGGUUACUUUGGAGGCUGGCUCUUGUCUAUGUUCCUUGGAACAGGACGUCAUGGAGGGUGAGAAUCCCGUCUGGCGAGAGUUUCAGUUUUCAUGUAAAGUAGCAUUCGACGAGUCGAGUUGUUUGGGAAUGCAGCUCUAAGUGGGUGGUAAAUUCCAUCUAAAGCUAAAUAUUGGCGAGAGACCGAUAGCGAACAAGUACAGUGAUGGAAAGAUGAAAAGAACUUUGAAAAGAGAGUGAAAAAGUACGUGAAAUUGUUGAAAGGGAAGGGCAUUUGAUCAGACAUGGUGUUUCGUGCUUCUUGCUCCUUGUGGGCGGGGAGACUCACACGGUUCACUGGGCCAACAUCAGUUUUGGCAGCAGGAUAAAACUUUGGGAACGUAGCUUUCUUCGGGAAGUGUUAUAGCCCUUAGCAAUACUGCUAGCCGGGAUUGAGGACUGCGCAUUUAUGCAAGGAUGUUGGCUUAAUGGUUAAAUGCCGCCCGUCUUGAAACACGGACCAAGGAGUCUAACGUCUAUGCGAGUGUUUGGGUGUAAAACCCGUACGCGAAUGAAAGUGAACGUAGGUGGGGCCA
rnacentral:rRNA from 1 species